rnacentral:rRNA from 1 species
GACGAACGCUGGUGGCGUGCUUAACACAUGCAAGUCGAACGGAAAGGCCCUGCUUUUGUGGGGUGCUCGAGUGGCGAACGGGUGAGUAACACGUGAGUAACCUGCCCUUGACUUUGGGAUAACUUCAGGAAACUGGGGCUAAUACCGGAUAGGAGCUCCUGCUGCAUGGUGGGGGUUGGAAAGUUUCGGCGGUUGGGGAUGGACUCGCGGCUUAUCAGCUUGUUGGUGGGGUAGUGGCUUACCAAGGCUUUGACGGGUAGCCGGCCUGAGAGGGUGACCGGCCACAUUGGGACUGAGAUACGGCCCAGACUCCUACGGGAGGCAGCAGUGGGGAAUAUUGCACAAUGGGCGGAAGCCUGAUGCAGCAACGCCGCGUGCGGGAUGACGGCCUUCGGGUUGUAAACCGCUUUCGCCUGUGACGAAGCGUGAGUUACGGUAAUGGGUAAAGAAGCACCGGCUAACUACGUG